rnacentral:misc_RNA from 1 species
GGCUAACCAAACAUUAGCUCGCUUGAAUUUAUGCCCAUCCAAAAUCUGUAAACAUCAUAGGACCUGGGUAACUAACCAAACGUUACAUCACUUGAAUUUAUACCCGACCAAACCUUACAAACCUGGCCACAUUUGAAUAUAUACCCAACCAAACCUACCUUACCACACUUGAAUUCCCUUAACAAAAAAAAGCCAUUGCGGGUGCUUUAAAACCUCAGC